CUGGAUGGAAAGUAGAGUGGUUGGGAUUUGAACCAGUGCCCAUAUGGGAUGCUGGUGCUACCGGGGUAUCUUUAUCCACUGUGUCACAGUAUCAUCCCCUAGACCCCUGUCUUGGUGGUGCUGUGCCUUCCAGGCCCAACACUGUGCCACUCAAAAGCAGGGAUGAAGUCAAGAUUCUAGAAUCACUGAACAGAUGCUCUGACAACUGAUUCAAACCUCUCUGACCUGGGGCAAGACUUCCUGAGCUUCCUAAUUCUGGGAGACCAGAACUCAGUACAUAAAAUGCACUUCAGGAAGUUGUGUGUGAGAUGGAAGCUGACCCCCUUAGGGGUAAGGACUAGCUGUGACUCAAUGUUCUCAUAACACUUUUGGAGCCCCUGGACUGUGAGAUUUCUUGAGUGCCUGCCUGUCAAUCAUUUCAGUACUUUUUCUUAUCGCACCAUCUGGGGAGAGAGAGGAUGAAGAGAAGUACUCCUCUUAUUACUUGUCAGCAGCUCUCAGUUGGGUCCCCAAAGGCGACACUGAGAACUGGAAGAAUCUUAGGGAAUUUUCUAAGACUUGCCUGUCUUCCUGAGAGUAUCUGUGAGCCAUGUAUAAGUAUGAUAUCAUAUCAAGUUGAAAAAUACUUGCCAUUGUCCUAAAGUUACCAACCCUAUCUGCUUGGCUGUGUGAUGGUGUGGGAGUAUGCUAGAGUUUGUAUUUGGAAGGAGGGCAGGGGUGAUGUUUGCAAUACUGCUACAUUUUCCAGAUAGCUCCUGUGGCUCGGAGAGCUUUGCACCUGGAACCAGUUGGAGGAGUGGACUGGGGUAGGGGUGGGCAAUGCAAAAGGAAAUGUCCUAAGGGACUUGCCAUUUGGCAGAUACUAAAGGCCUUAGCUUUGUUUGUAACUAUUGGAAGUAGACGUUCCUGGGAGGCAUCUGCGGUGGCUUAGGCAAGGGGCGAGGUGGUCCCUAGAGGGAUUCACAUCCCCAAUGCCCAACAAAGGCUCUGCUCUUGAGACAACAGCCAGCUGCCUUGGGAGAAGUGUCUGGUCAUGGGGCAGUAGAAAUACUCAGGCGGAUAUAGAUAAAAAAAAAAAAAAGGCCUUGCUGAUUCACAUCAAGACCCAGUAAUGUGACUUUCCAGAUUAGCAGAUUGAAAUCUGUUGCCGCCGCUCAGCACUUCUAUUUUGAGCCUGGAGAGCAUCUCUCCCAACUGUUCCUUCUUUCUGCCUCAAAGCCCCUCCUGCGCUAUAGCAUUUUUGUCUUUUGGCUAGAGUGCAGAGCCCAUUACCUGAAGUUUCUUGAUUGCACUCUGGAGUGAAAAGAUGGGUGGACCCUGACAUUUUAUCACAGGCUGACACUCCCCUGGAGAAGCCACAAAGAGAAGCAGGCUGGGUGUUCUGUGCACUGGAGGGAGGGCAAGAGCUGUUGAGCAAACACAUGCAGAAGAACAAAGAACAAAGCUUGGACUUGUACAAUGAGGAGAGCUGUUCAGUGCCGGGGCCUUUGCACGGGCAUUUCCCAUUGACAACACUUCAGUUUCACAGUUCCUCAACCGCCAAAUGAAGAAAGUAGGUGUCCCUCCAUGAGACUCUGGCGGGAGGGCAUCCUUCCGGUGCUUUCCAGCUGAGAGAGGCUGCCUGCACUGCUUGGCUUGUCGUUCCUGCUUCCAUCUUCAAAGACACUCCUAGAGAGUAGCUGGCUUCUGAUCUGAGCCUUUGGUGCACUGGGACAGAUACACCGACAGGAGCAGUGUUGGGAUUCUUGGCUCAGCCCCACUCAUCCAGCUGUUCUUGGACUUGGAGCUAUUGUCUUCCCACUGCAAAGGACCAGAUUGGCUGUGUUUGUUGAGAACUGAUCCUCUACACAGGCCUUUCAAGAAAAUGAUUUUUGCCACUGGGCACAUACAGAGGAAUUGAAGUAGUAUUGUAACAAAUACU